CAUCAGGAUUACUGUGGAUGGCAAGGGGUUUGUGGGGUUUUUAUGCACGAAUGGAGACCGACCGCAAGGCCAAAACUUAUGGAACUCUUUUCGGCUGAAAAACCUGUGCGGUCGGUCAAAACUUCAAAGACCCAUAACUCCCGAACCCCUCAACCGAAUGACUUGAAAUUUGGAUAUGUUGUUCCCCUGAGUGAGAGCUAUUAAGCGGAC